UACGUAGGGUGCAAGCGUUAAUCGGAAUUACUGGGCGUAAAGCGUGCGCAGGCGGUUGUGUAAGACAGAUGUGAAAUCCCCGGGCUCAACCUGGGAACUGCAUUUGUGACUACACAGCUGGAGUGCGGCAGAGGGGGAUGGAAUUCCGCGUGUAGCAGUGAAAUGCGUAGAUAUGCGGAGGAACACCGAUGGCGAAGGCAAUCCCCUGGGCCUGCACUGACGCUCAUGCACGAAAGCGUGGGGAGCAAACAGG
rnacentral:rRNA from 1 species